GGCGAGUGGCGGACGGGUGAGUAACGCGUAGGGAUCUGCCCUGUAGUGGGGGACAACCCGGGGAAACCCGGGCUAAUACCGCAUGAAACUCUGAGGAGGAAAGCUGGGGGUAACCCUGGCGCUACGGGAGGAACCUGCGUCCGAUUAGCUAGCUGGUGAGGUAACGGCUCACCAGGGCGAUGAUCGGUAGCUGGUCUGAGAGGAUGACCAGCCACACUGGGACUGAGACACGGCCCAGACUCCUACGGGAGGCAGCAGUGGGGAAUAUUGGACAAUGGGGGCAACCCUGAUCCAGCAAUGCCGCGUGUGUGAAGAAGGCCUUCGGGUUGUAAAGCACUUUGGGCGGGGAAGAAGGCAUUCUGUUUAAGAGAUGGGAUGUUUGACGGUACCCGCAGAACAAGCACCGGCUAACUCUGUGCCAGCAGCCGCGGUAAUACAGAGGGUGCGAGCGUUAAUCGGAAUUACUGGGCGUAAAGGGCGCGUAGGCGGUCAUGCAAGUGAGAUGUGAAAUCCCCGGGCUUAACCUGGGAACUGCAUUUUAGA
rnacentral:rRNA from 1 species